rfam:Saccharibacter sp. AM169, AM168, WGS project CBLY01000000 data, contig: NODE_1
GGAGAUCGGCCCCGGGCGGCUGACCUGCGAACCCGGUCAGGCCCGGAAGGGAGCAGCCGUAGUGGGCUCGUGUCGGGUCGGGUGUCCGGUCUCCUCC